GUUUACUAGUAUAUAAAACAAGUUCUUCAUUAGGAUCAAAUCAUCUUGUUGCUCUGUGGCUUUUUAAUCACUGUGCUCUUUUAAUGUGGCAGCUGACGUGAAACCGUUCAGGUUCAGAUGGCCAGUAACCUUCUCAACUACAAGGAACUGGGGUUGAUACCACUCUUUCUCUAAAGAUACAAAAAGUACAGAAACAUAAUACUUGAGCAAAAGUAAAGAGCUUUUAAGUAAAAAUGGAAAGAGCUACUAUAAACUUGUACUUAAGUGAAAUGUCAAGUGUCCAGACAAGAUAAACAAAUCUGAGUCAUGAGUAAAAUGAUUCAAACACUGACUGACUGCAUGAUAAAUGACAGAAUCUUGGGCAUAACUAAAACGAUUUACUGACUACAAUACUGAUUGGCUUAAUGACCAUUCAGGGAGUCUUGUUCAUGACUGAAAAGAUUCACUGACUCCAAUACUGAUUCAGUAAAUGACAAUUGAGUGGAUCCCAGUCAUGACUGAAAAGAAUUCUGAAAAGAUGGCUCAUGGAGUGCACAAAAGUAGGCUCGGCAUGCACACAACUACAACUCACAAAAUAUACAGAUAAACAUUUAUCCUGACUCUAUACAUGAAAGGAACGACUCUGUGCAUGGCAAUGAUGGUCAUAGAUUCACUGACCUUAGUGACAUAUCAUUCUAAACAUAUCUAAUGUUAACUUUUACAAGCAGAAAGGUGAGCAGCUAAGGGUUAAAGGUAUUGCAAAUUGGCCAAAACUGGGACUUGCAUUCUGGUCAUUAGUACAGAAACUUAAUUGCUGUGAUAAUGCUUGGCUACUUUUUCUCUCUCUCUCAGUCGCUUUUCACACCAGCUGGCAAAAAGACAUAGAUAUUCUGCCCAACGUGUGAGGUAUUUUUAUUUUUUUGCCACGCACUGAUGCAUUGAUGUUUUGCCAACCCCAUCCCUCAACAGCAGGAUAAAUCAUUGAAAGAAAGGAACAUUUACCAAAUUCACACUAGUAGGCAACAAGAGAAAUAAAAACAUGGCAAGCAAAGCAAUUUCAUGGAUAAACUAUUCAUCUGAGCUGGAAUCGAUGAGCAUUUUUAUUACAAUAUAAUACCAAAAACAUUUUCUCCUUCCUCAAAACCAGAACUUGUUCCUGAAUGAAAAAUCGCAUUCACACACAUCCAGUUAGAGAUGGGACAAUUUAAGGAGUCUCAGUCUGUGUGUGUGUGUAGUGCUACAAUUAUCUUUGGUUUCCAGAACAAAUCCCUGUUUUGAUUUUGCCAAAUGUGCUGUGCUCCCAUUGUGUCAAUAAGGACAGGGGUGCAAAAUAAUUUCCAAAACAUUAUAUACCAUGGAGCACAGUGAAUACCAUCAUCAACAAGUGGAGAAAAUGGGGCACCACAGUGGCAUUACUAUCCAUCCAUCCAUUUUCCAGACCAUUCAUCCUGCACAGGGUCACGCGGAGCCUGAAGCCUAUCAAAGGAAACUCAGGGCACAAGGUGGGGGACAACCUGGACAGGGUGCCAACCCAUCACAGGGCACAAUCGAACAAACAUUCAUACACUAUACACAAUUUGGAAAUGCUAAUCAGCCUACAACGCAUGUCUUUGGACUUGGGGAGGAAACUGGAGGACCCAGAGGAAAACCCGAAGUAUGGGGAGAACGUGCAAGCGCUGCGCAUGCAGGGUGGAGGAGGGAUUCGAUCCCCUAACCAUGCAGGUGUGAGGCAAAUGUGCCCACCAGUGGCAUUACCAAAAUUAUCAAGAUGAAACAUAUCAGGAAUCUGUCAGGAGACCUAUAGCAACAUUAAAGUAGCUGCAGGAAUAUCUGGCAAGUACUGGUCACUCCCUGGAUCUCUUAUAUUCUUCACAUGUCUGGGCUAUGGUAGGGUGGCUAGACUAGCCCGCCUAAAUCACCCCCAAACCAUGCGGCAAAACAUGUCAUGGUCUGAUGAGUACAAGGUAGAACUUCUCGAAUAAUUCUAAAUGAUAUGUAUGUUUGUUAAACCAGACAGUUUAACACUUGAAGAACACUAUACCUGUGGUGAAGCAUGGUGGUGGCUGCAUCAUAUUAUGGUGCUGCUUCUCUUCAGCUGGGACUGGGGCUUUAGUCAAGAUACAGGGAAUCAUGGAUAGCUCCAAAUUCCAACCUAUUGUGGCACAAAACUUGUAGGCCUCUAUUAAACAGCUGAAGAUGGAGAAACAUUUCACCUUCCAGCACGAUAAC
ensembl:lncRNA